CCCUUAGAUGUUCUGGGCUGCACGCGUGUUACACUGAUAUUGCCAAUAUGUCAUUCUUAUCCGAAAUGGAUUGGGUAAUCAAGUAAUGAAAUUUCAUGCUUGGAAUCGGUAAUUGCAAUUUUAUCGUGAACGAGGAAUUCCUAGUAAGCACUAGUCAUCAGCUAAUGUUGAUUAUGUCCCUGCCCUUUGUACACACCGCCCGUCGCUACUACUGAUUGGGUGUUCAAGUGAGAUGCUUAGACCCUUGUUGCAUGGUUCAUUAUUGUGCUCCGAAAGGAAAAAGUUUCAAGCUUGAGUGUCUAGAGGAAGUAAAAGUCGUAACA
rnacentral:rRNA from 1 species